UCUUUAGAUAUAACUCACAAUUCACCCUAAUAUGUUUUUGACAGCAUCCUCUCUUUACUUCCUGCUAGGUAUGGUUUCAAAAUAGAAGGGCAAAGUGGAGAAAGAAAGAGCGGUUCCACCAGAUAUCGGGCAUGCGCCAGACCACGGCGGGGACAGGCGCGUACAUGCCCGUCCAGCCACAGCCCGCGGGCGCAUACUCCCAGAUCGCAUUCCAACGCGGCGAACAUAGCGGGUAUACAAGGAGCCCGCAACAUUUGGCGAGCCCUCCACUCCCAUGGGUGUAAGUUCAGGUUCAUACGUCAUCAUGGGGAGGGGUGGGCAACUCCUCCUGUAUGUCACCACACACCAACCUCCCCAGCUUCAUGGGCGUGGCCACGCAAGCGCAGCCGGCCCUCCACGCCAUCUCCCCCCUGUCCACCAACAGCCAAGACUCCCUGACCAAUGGGCAGCGCCAGCUGGACAUAGCAUGUGCAGAAGCAGACAGAAGAAGUUCCAGUAUAGCCGCUCUCAGACUGAAGGCGCGGGAACACAGCGUGGCGCUGAGCAUGAUGGGAGGCCCUUACAUCAAAUGAUAGGAAACACGGAAUGACGGGACAUCCCAAAGGACGUCCCUGAAUACGUAUAUGUACUUGCUCCAAAUACCAUGCCCCUGUGUAAGCUACAACACACGAGUUGGUAUUUAUUCAGUUUACCAUUGUCUCGAAGAACAUUUAUGCUUUUCCCAUGCAACCAACCAACCAACCAACCAACCAACCAACCAACCAACCAACCAAUUAAUCAACC